rnacentral:rRNA from 1 species
GAUGAACGCUAGCGGCAGGCCUAACACAUGCAAGUCGAGGGAGGAGCUUCCGGGCUUCGACCGGCGUACGGGUGCGUAACGCGUAUACAAUCUGCCUUUCACAUAGGGAUAGCCCGAAGAAAUUUGGAUUAAUACCUAAUGGUAUAUAGGAGUGGCAUCACAUUUAUAUUAAAGCUGAGGCGGUGAAAGAUGAGUAUGCGUUCUAUUAGCUAGUUGGAGAGGUAACGGCUCCCCAAGGCGACGAUAGAUAGGGGUUCUGAGAGGGAUAUCCCCCACACUGGUACUGAGAUACGGACCAGACUCCUACGGGAGGCAGCAGUGAGGAAUAUUGGACAAUGGUCGGAAGACUGAUCCAGCCAUGCCGCGUGCAGGAAGACGGCCUUAUGGGUUGUAAACUGCUUUUGCAGGGGAAGAAUAAGGACUACGAGUAGUUUGAUGACGGUACUCUGCGAAUAAGCAUCGGCUAACUCCGUG